ACGGAAGGCAGCAGUGGGGAAUAUUGCGCAAUGGGGGAAACCCUGAUGCAGCAACGCCGCGUGAGUGAUGAAGUAUUUCGGUAUGUAAAGCUCUAUCAGCAGGGAAGAAAAUGACGGUACCUGACUAAGAAGCCCCGGCUAACUACGUGCCAGCAGCCGCGGUAAUACGUAGGGGGCCAGCGUUAUCCGGAUUUACUGGGUGUAAAGGGUGCGUAGACGGCUGUGCAAGUCAGAAGUGAAAUCCCGGGGCUUAACCCCGGUGCUGCUUUUGAAACUGCACGGCUAGAGUGCUGGAGGGGCAAGCGGAAUUCCUGGUGUAGCGGUGAAAUGCGUAGAUAUCAGGAGGAACACCGGUGGCGAAGGCGGCUUGCUGGGCAGUAACUGACGUUGAGGCACGAAAGCGUGGGGAGCAAACAGGAUUAGAUACCCUGGUA
rnacentral:rRNA from 1 species